GUGGGUGUAGCUCAGGGGCAGAGCUCUUGAUUGUGGUUCAAGUGGCCGGGGGUUCAAAUCCCCUCACCCACC
rnacentral:tRNA from 1 species